UUUCCCCACAGCCAUUGUGGCCUGCCAGCUUACUGCUUAGCUACAGCACUCUUUCUUACUUGAGAGCUUUCCUGCAGCUGAGAAGAAGCAGCUGUACUGUGUGCUGUGCGUAUAAGGAAUAAGCCCUGAGGCGAUCCAAGCUGUGCUACAUCCUCGAGGGAGAAAGCAUUAAACAGAGGUGGUCCUGCUGCAACAAAUAACUGAUGAAACUGUUAGGGGAAAGAGCUGCUGGGUGGUCCUCCACACUACCUACCUUUGGUCAGGGCUAUUUCAUGCAGAGUUUCCACAACAUGGAUUUUUGCAGAAGCUGUUGCCUCUCCUUUGGCAUUUGAUGCAUGACACUCAUAUUCUCCAGCAUCCUCUUUGCUCAGAGGAGAGAUCUGCAGGAAGAAAUACCCCCCCAUUCCCAUUGACUGUUACCUGUGAUGGAUCCCUACUGUUCUGGAGUUGGCUGAGCACCUGCCUGCCCAUGGGAAGUGGUGGAUGGAUUCCUUGGUUUGCUUUGAUUGUGUGUAUGGUCUUUGCUUUACCCAUUAAAC